CCUACGGGAGGCAGCAGUGAGGGAUAUUGGUCAAUGGGCGCGAGCCUGAACCAGCCAAGUCGCGUGAGGGAAGACGGUCCUAUGGAUUGUAAACCUCUUUUGUUGGGGAGCAAAAGACGCCACGCGUGGCUUUCCGAGAGUACCCGAAGAAGAAGCAUCGGCUAACUCCGUGCCAGCGGCCGCGGUAAUACGGGGGAUGCGAGCGUUAUCCGGAUUUGUGGGGGUUACAGGGUGCGCAGGCGGAAGAUCAAGGCAGCGGUAAAAUUGAGAGGCUCAACCUCUUCGAGCCGUUGAAACUGGUUUGCUUGAGUGAGCGAGAAGUAUGCGGAAUGCGUGGUGUAGCGGUGAAAUGCAUAGAUAUUACGCAGAACUCCGAUUGCGAAGGCAGCAUACCGGCGCUCAACUGACGCUCAUGCACGAAAGUGUGGGUAUCGAACAGGAUUAGAUACCCGGGUAGUC
rnacentral:rRNA from 1 species